GAUGAAGAACGCAGCGAAAUGCGAUAAGUAAUGUGAAUUGCAGAAUUCAGUGAAUCAUCGAGUCUUUGAACGCACAUUGCGCCCCCUGGUAUUCCGGGGGGCAUGCCUGUCCGAGCGUCAUUGCCGCCCUCAAGCACGGCUUGUGUGUUGGGCCCCCGCCCCCCGGCUUCGGGGGGCGGGCCCGAAAGGCAGCGGCGGCACCGCGUCCGGUCCUCGAGCGUAUGGGGCUUCGUCACCCGCUCUGUAGGCCCGGCCGGCGCCCGCCGGCGACCCCAAUCAAUCUUUCCAGGUUGACCUCGGAUCAGGUAGGAGUUACCCGCUGAACUUAAGCAUAUCAAUAAGCGGAGGA
rnacentral:misc_RNA from 1 species